rnacentral:lncRNA from 1 species
CAACAAAUAAUGGUGUGUUCUUGUUUUUUCAUAAAGGAGUGGCUGUUCAACCUGGCAAGACAGGUGGCUAUAGCCCAGGACUCAUUGGAGUUGGUGGACUAGGUCUUGGUGGAGUUGGAGCUGGUGGACUGGGACCUGGUGUAGUCAGUCCUGGUGGAGUUGGACCUGGGAGUAUAGCAGUUGGUGAACAGAGACCAGGUGGUUUCGGAGUUGGACUUGGAACAGGAGCUGGUGUUAAACCUGCCAAGACAGGUGGCUAUGGCCCAGGACUCAUUGGCACUGGUGGAGUGGUACCUGGGGGAGUUGGAGCUGGUGGACUAGGUCUUGGUGGAGUGGGACCUGGUGCAGUUGCUCCUAGUGGAUUUGUCACUGGGGGAGUAGGAGUUGGUGGACUGAGACCAGAUGUUUUUGGAGUUGGUGGACUUGGAACAGGUAGAGGAGCUUGUUGUCAAACAGCCGUUGCAGCACUUAGGAAUUACUUUUGUUAUUUAUAACAUUUAUUUGUCCCAUGAUAUUUGGGAAGAAUUUGCAUUAGCCAUAACUAAUGGUUUCUUUUUUUUUUUUAUAAAGGAGCUGGAGUUAAACCUGGUAAGACAGGCGAGAUGACAUUUAGAUCCUGCUUUCACUGUUCAUUCCAAC